CGGGGUAUAGCGAAGAGGUAUCGCGCACCGUUCGGGACGGUGAGAUCGGCGGUUCGAUUCCGCCUACCCCGACCA
rnacentral:tRNA from 2 species